rnacentral:tRNA from 1 species
GCCCUCGUGGCACAAUGGUUAAGCGUUCAGUUGCUAACCAAAAGGUGGGGGUUCAAAUCCACUCAGUGGCU